CCAUGGUUUCAGUCACCCACAUUUUUAGUGCCCCUGAAUUCAUAGCAAGGACCAAUGAAAAAAGUUCAUACAUGAUCAUAAAAUGGAGGUCACUAACACAGAUUUGUUUAUACUAUAGUUUUAGAUUUCAGUACUAACUCAUACCCAAACACCUAUUUGAUUUAGAAUUAUCUAUCCAAAAUUUAUGUAGUAUAUCUAUGACCCUCUAAGCUAGUUUUCAUCUUUGCUGUCAAUGUGAUUAUUAAUGGAUUUUGAUAAUGGCUUUGGUAGGUCCUGAGUAGAGAAGCAACUGUAGAUAACAGGUCACAGAGCAGCUGUUUCUCACGCAUGCUUUCCUUUGGUACAUUCCCUAGCCUGGAUCUACAACUAGUGGGCACUUUGAUGUGUAGCUGUUGGGCUUGUUACAAAUCCACUUCCUAUGUGUGUAGCCCCGGCCACUGUGGAUCCCACUGUCAUUCAGGUAGGCACAUUCUCCUCCUCCUUGGGUGACAACCCUAAAGCAAAGAACGAACAAUAAUUACUGCACAGGAUGACACUGCAUUCAAACACCUGCACAAGUUUUACACCCAGCAUCUUUUACAACCUCAGGGCUCAACUUCAACACCACACUUUUGUCACUCAUUCAUGUUGAACCCUAUAAUAUGUGUUCAAGGGAAUUGAUAGGUGUUUGCUGUUGAAAGACCCACCCCAUGAGUCUUAACUCAGAGUUGCAACAGGCUUGAACGAGCCCAGGCACGCCCAGAUACCUAGGGCCGAGUCACCGUGAAAACUAACAGACCAUAAAAGGAAAGGAAUGCAGAACAGACCAGGAGUACCACUCACAGGCCACCUGGCAGGAAGAGAUAAGCCCCCAGCCCCCGACAUCCAGGACGCCCCAAACCUGCCAAUGUGUGUAGCUAUACCUUAUUACCUCAUCAUGUGAAAUAGCCAAUCAUAUGUGAACAUGUCUAUGUGCCUCGUUUGAAUCCACCAAUCCCCGUAACUAUGCAUCUGCUUCUGUACGCCCGCUUCUGCUUCCCCAAUCCCUAUAAAAGCCCCAUGCUGGAGCUGCUGGGUGCGCAAGUCCUCCGAAGAGACUGUGUGCCCGCAGGUACCUGUGUUUUCCAAUAAACCCUCUUGCUGAUUGCAUCCGAGUGGACUCGGCUCGGUCAUUGGGCGCUUGGGACUCCUCCUGAGGGAAAGGUCCUCUCUGGGGGUCUUUCAUUAUGGGGGCUCGUCCGGGAUUUGGAGACCCUCCGCCCAGAGAUCACCGACCACCCACCGGGAGGUAAGCCGGCCGGCGUUUGUCUUGUCUGUUGUGUCUUGUCCUGUGAACGAUCGAUCAAUAGGCUCAGAUCUGGGGACUAUCUGGGCGGGCCAGAGAAGGAGCUGACGAGCUCGGACUUCUCCCCCGCAGCCCUGGAAGACGUUCCAAGGGUGGUUGGAGGAGAGGGAGAUCCGGAUCCGUGGCACCUCCGUCCGUUUUCGGAGGGAUCCGCACCCUUGAUGACUCCGUCUGAAUUUUAUUGGAGUAGAGGAUCCAAGACCCUCGCUGACUCCGUCUGAAUUUUUGGUUUCAGUUUGGUACCGAAGCUGCGCGGCGCGUCUGCUUGUUACUUGUUUGACUGUUGGAAUUGUUUGUCUUCUUUGUGACCUGACUGUGGUUUUCUGGACGUGUUGUCUGUUAGUGUCUUUUUGACUUUUGUUUCGUGUUUGAAUUUGGACUGACGACUGUGUUUAAAAUCUUGGACCGACGACUGUGUUUGAAAUCAUGAAACUGUUUGCUUUGUUCGUCGAAGAGUUUUACUUGGUCCCCUUAACGCUUAGUGAGUAAGAAACUUAAUUUUGUAGACCCCGCUCUAGUGGCAGUGUGUUGGUUGAUAGCCAAAGUUAAUUUUUAAAACAUAGUGUUUUGGGGGUUGGGGAUUUAGCUCAGUGGUAGAGCUCUUGCCUAGCAAGCGCAAGGCCCUGGGUUCGGUCCCCAGCUCUGAAAAAAGGAAAGAAAAACAAAACAAAAACAUAUAGUGUUUUAUCUGUGCUUAUGCUCGCAGCCAGCUGUGAUGAACUGGGAAAGAUUUAAAUUUUCCUUGGGAGUAAGGAAUCUUAAAGGCGGAGUUUCAGCCGGUAUGGCACUUAGUGCAUAGCUGCCUAAAAGAUCAGAAAUGCUGUUAACAGGCUAUAAAAAAAGGACAGGCUGUGUUAGAAAUGCUACAGGAAGAAUGAUCUAAAAAGGCUGAGAGCUAAGUGGGGCUAUAAGGAAAACAAGAACAGGAAAGGAAUUUCUGACAUUUGCUCACAGUAGGAGAGCGCUCAUUUAGAGAAGUUCUUUAAGGAAGCCUGCCUUAUCUGCUGUCCUUAUUCCAAGGGAGGAGUCAGUCUCCAACAUUAAAUUACUUUUCUCACUGAUCAUCAUUAACAUGGAGAGUGCCUUUGGUCCUAUCCCCACAGCAGCCAGUUCCUGCCCCUAUGGUUAAAAUGCCCCAGGUUGGGGGACAAAAAGAGCCCCUAAAAUAGUUUCAAAGAAUCUACAACUGUGAAGAACUUUGUUUUGCCAGUCAGGAUUAAUGUUUUCUUUUCCAUGGGCCUAUAGCCCACUGAGACAGUUUGGUAAAGGGCUGUUACUAAAGUCCUGAAAGCCCCAGGUGAACUGGUUACAAUUCUUUUGUCAGCUGCUUAGUAUCUAGCACCCAGGUUCUAACCAUCUCUCCAUCCUUUUGUUAUUAGUUGUUACUAGAAGCCUAGUGUCAUUUGGAGGAUGGUUCUCUUGAGAGGCAAAGCCCCAAGCUGACACUGAAGGGAGGUAGGUACUCCUUAAGGGAAAAUCUAAGCCCAGAGAGACAGCCGGUAACAGCUAGGCUGCCUCUCUGCUCGCCUUUCUGUUUCAUAGACAAAGCUUGUGCUUAUAUUUACAGUGGCCUUUUUGUCCAAAAAAAGGCCUCCUGGUUUAGCUGUGUGACUAAAUGCUAUUUGUCCUCUUCAGUGGACCUCUCUCCUCUAGAUUCCCUUCUUGUUUUCUCACCAUCCCACGUGAGAUGCUUGUUAGUAACUGUUACAGAUCUUCUUUACCACUGAGGAAAGACAGAAUCCUGCUAGAGGCCAGAAAGAAUGUUCCAGACAUGGAUGGAAGGCUCCUGACUGUUGACUUCAAUGCCCCUGAAGGCUAAAAGACCUACAGGUGAUACAGAAAGAAAUCUGCUCAGAGCUGGCAGCAGCCUAUGCCCUGGGGACCCCUGAGACAUCUCACCAGUUCCAGGUCGGAGACUCGGCUACAUACGAUGGCACCGAACCCAGAUACUCACUGGAAAGGACCGUACCUGGUUCUGCUGACCACCCUGACAGCCAUCAACUCUCAACCCUCACCAGCCGUGUACUAGCUGUUGGGGCUGAGAGCUGGGACCUAGAGGGAAACUCAGAUCUUCAAAAAGCUCCCUAGACUUAAUUUCAUGUUUGCCCCGGGUUUUAUCAAGAUAGGUGUGGGGAUAGGCUUGAUUUCUAUUACAAAUGAUUUAACAUUGCAUAUGUUAGUACUCCUAACACUUCUUGGGACUGUGCCUCAGGGAUCACAAUCUGUAUAAGUUUAGAAGUUCUAAAAGCUAGUCAUGACCUUGGUGUGUAGGUUUAGAUAGUGUCCAGAUUGGAAUCCUGAUGCUAAAGACUUAGUAAGAAAAAAAAAAAGAGUUGAGAAUUACUUAAGGCUAUCUAGGUGCUGCAAGGGCAGCACAAGGACAUCUGCCAUUGCCCUGCAAUGCAAGGUUUAUAGAGAAUUCAGAACUGCCAUUGACUCAGAUAUAAAAAGAGUGAAAGACUUUUUAGCUGACCUCCAAGAAUACCUAACCUCCCUCUCAGAGGUAGUCCUUCAGAAUAGGAGAAGAUUAGACCUGAUAUUCCUUAAAGAAGGAACCUGUGUGCUACACUGAAAGAAUGUUGUUUCUAUGCAGACCAUACAGGAUUAGUGAGAGAUAACAUGGCUAAGCUCCGAGAACGCUUGGCCCAGAGACAGAAGCUGUUUGAUUCCCAACAAGGCUGGUUCGAGGGGUGGUUUAACCGAUCCCCUUGGUUUGCUACCCUGGUGUCCACCUUGAUGGGACCCUUAAUCAUCCUCCUCCUAAUCUUCCUCUUUGGCCCCUGCAUUCUAAACAGAUUGAUGCAGUUCAUAAAGAACAGACUCUCAGUCAUUCAGACGCUUGUUCUCACCCAACAAUACCAGAGGGUAAGACAACAGGAAGAGAUUCCUUAGAAUUCGAUUUGAGUAAAGGAUUUUACUCAAGUCUAAAAGAAAAUGGGGGAAAAUGAAAGACCCACCCCAUGAGUCUUAACUCAGAGUUGCAACAGGCUUGAACGAGCCCAGGCACGCCCAGAUACCUAGGGCCGAGUCACCGUGAAAACUAACAGACCAUAAAAGGAAAGGAAUGCAGAACAGACCAGGAGUACCACUCACAGGCCACCUGGCAGGAAGAGAUAAGCCCCCAGCCCCCGACAUCCAGGACGCCCCAAACCUGCCAAUGUGUGUAGCUAUACCUUAUUACCUCAUCAUGUGAAAUAGCCAAUCAUAUGUGAACAUGUCUAUGUGCCUCGUUUGAAUCCACCAAUCCCCGUAACUAUGCAUCUGCUUCUGUACGCCCGCUUCUGCUUCCCCAAUCCCUAUAAAAGCCCCAUGCUGGAGCUGCUGGGUGCGCAAGUCCUCCGAAGAGACUGUGUGCCCGCAGGUACCUGUGUUUUCCAAUAAACCCUCUUGCUGAU